AUAAGCACUAGAUGUCAAGAUAUGUGCCUCUAAUGACUAUCAUAGUUUUUGCUUGUAUUUUUUUUUUAAUCAUCAGAUCAGCUAUUUGAGACAUGGAGCAAAGGAGUGAUUCAAGAUUUCCAAUGGAGUACCUGCCUUUUUUGCAGCUGCUGUGCCCUUGUUUAUCCAACUGUUCUGCCCUUUGGCUAGGAACCAUAUGGUUAAAAACCCAAAUGUAAUCUCCUGAAUCCCCACAGGAAGAGCUAAAAUGGAGGCCACCAAAGGGCUGAAAUUAGCUUAAGCACCAGUGCUGGUAUGAAAAAUUAAGAGCAAAAAGAGAGAGAGAGAGGUUAGCUUGGAUUAUCCCUGUAUGUAGGUCACAGUGACUCAAAGCAAUGCAGCACUGGCAAUGCCCAAGCAAAAGUAAACCUUUUGAAACAGUCCA